UGGCUCAGUGGUAGAGUGCUUGCCUCACAUGCAUGAGGCCCUGGGUUCAAUUCCUCAG
rfam:Dipodomys ordii contig_54671, whole genome shotgun sequence.